UAAAUCCAACCGUUAGAUUGAAAGUUCAUAUCUCUUAGAUCAUAUAUAUCAAAUUUUAUAUUAAUCUAAGAUGAUUUGAUACUUCAUUCUCAUAAAACAAAAUUGACGUAAUAUAUACAUUUCAAAAUAUACUAAAAUAUGAACGCUUUGAUUACCUUCAAGUUGUUGUUCAAUUUUAACAAAAUUUGAUAUAUAUGAUCUAAGAGAUAUGAACUUUCAAUCUAACGGUUGGAUUUU
rnacentral:miRNA from 1 species